CACAAUUCCUAUCUUUUAAAACAUCCAGCGUGCUCUUCAUAACGGUUCCGUUUUUUGGGAAGGCACUAUCUAAGACAGGUUUCAGCUGCACCGAAGCAGCUCCUCCCGGGACCCUCAACAAAGCUCAGGAUCGCCGGAAGAAAAGACAGUUUGAGAAGCUUUCUCCACACUACCGAUUCUUCUGGUGACCAAGUCGCAUUCCAGGCACAGGCAGAUUGAGGGAACCGAAGGAUUUCCCACCCCCCUAUUCUGGAACAUUUUCUUCAACUCCAAGACCCCAAACUAAAGUCUGAUUAAAUCCAAUGCCAAUGAAAAUGUUGUAAGAUGAAAACGUUAACACCCAUCCUGGUCUUUGUUCACAUUGGCAAGGGUUAUCUAAGCCCACCUGACUGUAAAGCGGGGACCCGCAGACUUCAUCUUCACCGGGUAGGGGACCUAGAAGGUUCUUUCUGCGCCUCCUCAAAGGGCCCUGGCUGCAGCACCUUCACCCUGGAUCCGUACAGCUAGAAUCUCCGACAGGCACAGUGGUGGCAAGAGAUGCUGUGAAACUCAACUUUGGAAACAAGAAAAGGGAAGGAGUACAAAUGCAUCAACAGAGCAAAAAACAGGCUAUUUUCUCUGUCAGAGAAAGCCUGGAUUCUGAACGGCAGUUCUACCCUCUCUUCACAGCCAAACCCCCGAACGGGUCUCGACACCGUCUCUCCGACAGACGGCGCUGCUGUCUCAGGUAGAUGGUCACGUUACCUUCAGAACCUGAACCUUGCCGUUUUUGGACUGAGAGAACCGCUGUUCCUAGCUGUAUUUUGAUUUUCCAUCUUCUUCUGAUGCUAUGAGAUGGUAUCGGCUCGGCAGCAGUGAAGUGAAGUGAAGGUUUGCUGUUUGUCCCGCAGCAUAAUAUUGUAUGGAAGGGUUUGACUUUCUCUUCGAGCAAGGAAAAGUGUAAGUAUAUUUGUUGGAGAAAAGCGAGCAGAUGGAGGCUUGAAAACACUGGAGGUGCCGGGGAUUGAACCCGGGGCCUCGUGCAUGCUAAGCACGCGCUCUACCACUGAGCUACACCCCCGACACAGCUAAGCUCUUGGGAAUACAUUCAAGACAGAAAUCUGACUUUUACUAGGUUUUGGAAGUAUGAACAGAAGCCGAAGGCCAUAAUUAUUUUCACCGAUUUUUUUGAAAAUCAAGCCAAAUCCUGGCAUCUGACCAUCUGCGCGCUCCCGGGUCCGAACCAACAGCUUUUCGAAGCUCUGGGUUCUGUGUGCAUGGAUCCACCUCCCUGAGCCCGGGAAAGAGCCAGGUUGAAUACUUUUUGUCCGACUUUAUUCCCCUCUUGUCCGCCGCCUAAUUUUAAAUGAUUGCAGAGCCCGGAACGAUGUACCUCCUCUGUAAUCCCAGCGCUUGGGGUGGAGACAGGAGGAUUAUCUAGAAUUGCAAGACAAACCAGAACUAUACCGUGAGACUCUGUUUCCAAAACUGAAAAAUGAGAGAGGAGGAGCGGGGAAAGUGAGGGAGAGAGGGAGAGAGGGAGAGAGAGAACUAAAGGCGUUUUGUUUG